UGAUAGCUAUGAAGUGUGAGGUUGCUGCCUUACGGCAGGUUUUCCGCGGAGCGAAUGUCAAGUUAGGAAACUGACGACAA
rfam:Lachnospiraceae bacterium CAG:364 genomic scaffold, scf472